ensembl:lncRNA
CCUGGCGCCGCGGGGCGCGCAACCCGCGCGUUCCGGGAAUCCACGCCUCCCGGAGAGAGGACAGCGCUGGCACAGGGAGGGGAAGGAGAGAGCUUCCCGUCUGGGCAGUCCGCAGGGUGGCCAUACCAGUGUUUCCUGCCUCCUGCCUUCUACCUGCCUGAAGCCAGUGGGUAGCCACAUCACGGAUCACACCCCAGACAUCCCCAGUCGCGGGCUCCUCACCCUCCAGGUUCCAGUCUUGUCGACUUGAUUCCAGAAAUUCUCUGGCCUCCCUCCCCCACCCAGGCAAGCCGUGUGGUGCAGGCUGGCGACACAGAAGCCCCCUCACUGCCCCUUUGGCUGCUCCAGGUUUCCUCCUUGUAGUCCUCCACCUUCUACUGCACAGACAACGGAUGGACAUGUGACUGUGGCCCUCCUUUGCUCCAUACCCCUCUGGAACCCCCCAUUGUCUGAGGGCAGAGCCUAAAGCACUCAAUCUGGUGUUCAGGGCUCUUGUGUUCAACCUCCAGCUGACCUCCCAGGUCUCACCUUCUCCCACCAAGUACCCAGCAGUCUGGCAGCCCUGAACCGCAGGAGUUUGCAAGCGUCUGUCCCUGCUGUCCUCUGCCUGGAAUGUCCUUGCCCUUGUCUGGCUGGCACCCCCAGUUCUCUCCAUCUUUACAAUGCCCUCUUAGAUGUCCCCACUUGUCUCAGAGCAAGACCCCAACCCACUUCCAUGCCCUGGAAGCACUAAGCACUAGCCCUCUCUUCUCGCUGUGUGAUGGGCGUGGACCUGACCGUGGUGACUGAACCCAUCAGCCUGCCUGAGAAGGAACCAGCCCAGGGGAAGCAGAGAGAGGGACUGGCUUCCUCAGGAAGAAUUAAAAUGCUUGGAUCCAGCCAUGCCUGGAGUUUAUGCUCUGCCUCAUGUUGGAAGCUGGUCUUUGCUUUUUGGAGGCUUCAGACUGACUCAAUGGUCUGAGCAAACUUUGGGAGACAGUGAAGGACAGGCAAGCCGGACGUGCUGCAGUCCAUGGGGUUGCAAAGAGUCAGGCAUGAGCGACUGAACAACAACAAAUAUGGAAAAUGGGACCAGAAGUUGGGUGUUGAGAUGAAUGGAUUCUAUGAUGUGGAACUGGUGAGUCAGGUUGAGUUGCCUUAAACCCAGCUAGAGAAGAAGGAACUCUUGGGUGUUCCCUUCUAUGAGCUGCUAAAUAUACCUUCCACCCACCGCAUCAGGUGAUGCUGACUUUGCUUGCUCGCCACAGAGAAGCCCUGAUGGACCCACCCUGUCCCCCUCCGAAGGCUUUUCUUUUCCUCGUCCAAAUAUCACUGUUCUCCACCUUCCUCUUCUCUCUAUUUUCACUGUUGUAGUUUGGCUACCCCUCCCAUCAACAACCUCAGAUAUGCAGGUUAUACCACUCUAAAGGCAGAAAGUGGAGAGGAGCCUCUUGAUGAGGGUGAAGGAGGAGAGUGAAGAAGCUGGCUUAAAACACAACAUUAAAAAACUAAGAUGAUGGCAUCUGGUCCCAUCACUUCAUGGCAAAUAGAUGGGGAAACAAUGGAAACAGCGAUAGACUCUAUUUUCUUGGGCUCCAAAAUCACUGCAGAUGGUGACUGCAGCCAUAAAAUUAGAAGACGCUUGCUCCUUGGAAGAAAAACUAUGACAAACCUAGACCUGUAUUAAAAAGCAGAGACAUCACUUUGCUGACAAGCGUCUGUCUAGUCAAAACUAUGGUUGUUCCAGUAGUCAUGUACAGAUGUGAGAGUUGGACCAUAAAGAAGGCUGAGCGCUGAAAAGCUGAUGCUUUCAAAUUGUGGUGCUGGAGAAGACUCUUGAGAGGCCCUUGGACUGCAAGGAGAGCAAACCAGUCAAUCCUAAAGGAAAUCAAUCCUGAAUAUUCAUUGGAAGGACCGAUGCUGCAGCUCCAAUACUUUGGCCACCUGAUAAGAGCCGACUCAUUGGAAAAGACCCUGAUGCUGGGAAAGAUUGAGGGCAGGAGAAGGGGAGACAGAGGAUGGGAUGGUUGGAUAUCACAGACUGAAUGGACAUGACUUUGAAAGCACUCCAGGAGACGGUGAAGGACAGGGAAGCCUGGCGUGAGGCAGUCCAUGGGGUUGCAAAGAGUCAGACAUGACUGAGCAACUGAACAACAACAAUAAUAAUGACCGCUGUGUGUCAUUUGACAGGCACUUCCUGUUACACACCAGUUGGGACUGCGAUCAGCUCCACCAAGGUGAGGCACCGGUCUCCUCUUCCUCAAAGCUCCCAGGCUUGCUCCCACCUCUGGGCCUUUGCAUUCCUGGGCCUCCUGCCUGGGACACUUCUGCAGGUGUACUCCACCUUCCAGAACCCCACAGAAGAUUUCAGCCCGCUGACACUUCACACCCCCUUCCCCUGAAGCCCUGUAGAACCACCGCGGGCAGAAGGAACACAGACCCUACUGCGUCUAGUUUACUGGCUGCGUCUUCUCUAGAACAUCAGCCCCCUGAGGGCAGAGCUGUUAGCCGAUAUCCUGCACUGCUGUGGCCUCAGUGCUUGAUUCAGAGGAGGUGCUCAGAACACACUUACCAAAAUAUUUGAUUAUUUUUGGCUGUGCUGGGUCUUUGAUGCUGCGUGUGGGCUUUCUCUGGUUGCAGCCAGCGGGGCUACUCUUUGUUGUAGUGCGAAGCCUUCUCACUGAGGUGCCUUCUCUUGUUGCGGAGCACAGGCUCUAGGGUGCCCGGGCUUCAGUAGUUGUGGCGCACGGGCUUAGUUGCUCCACACCAUGUGGGAACUUCCCAGAUCAGGGAUCGGACCAGUGUCCCCUGCAUUGGUAGGCAGAUUCUUAAUGACUAGACCACCAGGGAAGUCCCAAAAUGUACUUUUAAAGCCAGUGAAUACUGGGAGAGACGAGCUAGUGAGCAGUGCCUGUUACUUGUAAGGUGAGUGCUCUUAUCGGACCCAUUUUGCAGACAAGAAAGGUGAGGCUCAGAGGGGUCAGACUCAGUCAUGUCACACUCUUUGCGACCCCAUGGACUGUAGCCUGCUAGGCUCCCCUGUCCAUGGGAUUCUCUAGGCAAGACUACUGGAGUGGGUUGCCAUGCUCUUCUCCAAGAGAUCUUCCCCACCCACAUCUCCUAUGUAUUCUGCAUUGCAGGUGGAUUCUUUACCCACUCAGCCACCUGGGAAGCCCAUCCUUGGACAUAGGAGCUUUGAACCCAGGCCAAUCCAGCUCCAGGACCCACACACUGACUGCCCAGCAAGGUGUGGGGCACAUGGUAGAUCCCCCAAAUAGAAUGAACCUAUAAGAGCUCCCUGGAUGUGGAGGGCCAGCUGCUGCCAGCUGUGGGGACGGCUGAGUUGCUGAGUCCCCAGCUGAUCUGCAGCUGGAGCACACACUGGCUCAAACUGCCCCAGUUAGCACACCUUUAAAUUUAGCUUUCUCUCCCUGCCAGGGGACAUGGGGAUUCAGCACGGGAACACUCCCUUCUUUCGAGGAAAAAUGCUUUGCAACUGGAGUGUGGGCCACUGGGCUACUCCUGCCUGGUCCAAGGAAGGGCCUCUCAGGCAGUGUACUGUGGGUGCCAGGGUGAGCUUUAGGUGGAUCUGCCUUUAACGGGAGAGGUUCCCUGCUCUUCCCCAGUCCCGUGUCCUGUCUUCCUGGUACCAGAGGUGGAGCCAGGUGCCUCAUUUCCCAGCCAUGCUUAUGGGUUCAAUAUGGCCUGGGCCCAUAUCACUUCCUGGCUUAACAUCUCCCUUGGGGAUGUCCCUGGUGUCCAGUGGUUAAGAACCUGCCUUGCAGUGGAGGAGAUGCAGGUUUGAUCCCUGGUUGGGGAACUAAGAGCCCACAUGCCAUGGAACAACUAACCCCUCCCUUGUACUGCAACCACUGAGCUUGCUUGUCACAACUAGAGAGUCCAUGCACCGCAACAAAGAUAUCUGCAUGACGCAGUGAAGAUCCCACAUGUCACAGCUAAGACCCAAUGCAACCAAACAAACCAAAAACCUCCCUGGGUGCCAGCUGUGCUCAUAAAACCCAGCUCCUGGCUACGGCUUGGUGGGGCCGCUCUCACCUCUGCUCGCUUCUCUCUCCUGUUCCCAGAUGAGCCGGCACUGUCCAGCCCCAGGGCCUUUGCACAUGCCACUUUCUCCUCCUAGCACGUGCUCCCCCAAGCUCUUCGCAAGGGCAGGAUCCUUCUUAGCACUUCCGACAAUGCCUCCGAGACCCUUCCCGACCACCCAGAGGGGCCGCCCACCAGCCAAGCCUGAUUACUGCCUGUUACCCUGUCUCACUCGCUCUUGUCAGUUACCUGGGAUCUGCCUUGCUCUCCUUGAUGGAGCGUAGGCUCCAUGAGCAAGGGCAGAGGCUGGGUGUGGCCUGGGCAAUCAUUUAUCUCUGGAGCUUGGCAUGGGGGAGGCUCUCCCAGCACAAAAGAACACAGAAUCAUGUGAGAGGGUAAACUUAGAGGAAGAGCAGGUGACCCACAAAGUGCCCGGAGACUUGCCCCUGCUCCAGGAUCCCACCUUGAUCCUCCCCAUCCUGUCCCACACCCUCGUGCUCUAACGCAGGAGGCAGCAAACUCUCCAUCAAGGGCCACGUGUCUUUUCUUCUUUUUCACUAUGUAUAUAUUUUUGGUUGCACUGGGUCUUAGUUGCAGCCUGUGGGAUCUAGUUCCCUGACCAGGGUUCAAACCUGGGCCCCCUGCACUGGGAGCCCUGAGUCUUAGCCACUGGACCACCAGGGAAACCCCAAGAGCCGCAAGUCUCAACUACUCAGUUCUGCUGCGGUGGCACAGAAACUGCUGUAGAGAGAGAGAACACAAGGGAAAGAGAACAGGUAUGGCUGCCUUCCAAUGAAAUGUUACUUAUGUACGCUGAAAUUUCAGCUUCAUGUACUAUUCACGUGUCAUGCAAUAUGGCUUUCUCCCCAGCCAUUUAAAAAUGUAAAGAACCAUUUUUAGCUCCCGGGAUGCACAAAAUCAGACGAUGCAUGCUAGAUGGUCGGUAAGUGGGCUUGGUUUGCUGACCUGUGGUCUCUCUCUGUCUUUAUUUUCUUAUAAUGUAGGCACAUUUUCUAAUUUAUUUGAUCCUAUAAGUGCACUCCUCAUCAAUUAAAUUGAAUGUGGAGACUUUCCUGGUGGUCCAGUGGCUAAGACUUGGGGCUCACAAUGCAGGGGGCCCAGGUUCCAUCCCUGGUCGGGGAACUAGACCCCUUAUGCCAGUAAAGUAAUACUCCAGUGCAGCCAAGUAAAUAAAUAUUUAAAAGAAAAAAAUGAAAUAUGUUGCUGUUCAUGGCACACAGGAAGUUCUCAAGUGCUUUCCAAACCACAUAAAGCUCCUCGACUCAGCAAUGGGCCCCUCGAGGGUAUGUGUGUUUUCUUCUUGUCAAAAUUAAUAGUAGCAAUAUUUGUAGAACCUUUGGCUCUGUGCUGAAGACUGUACAAAGCUUAAGAAAAACUGUUUUAAACAAAGCACCGUGUGUCUCACUCCUCAGUGGUUUGCACAUCUCUG